CUUUGCACAGUUAAAUAUCUGUUAUGCCCCUGAUUGCCACGCGUUGAUCAUCCUUUGUCUGUGUGGUUUGAUUCCGUCACAGCGAAUGCACGACGUUUCCCUUCUAGCCCACGCGUCCAUCAUCGAUGGCCCUUUCAGUUCGACUUCAUCCCAAUUUCGCUUCUCUCGCCAUUCUCACCUUUUGGGUAUUUUGGAACCUAGGUUUUUUUCUCUCCCGCAUUGCCGUUUUACUUGCUGUUUAGCGUUGCCAUCUUUCUCCAGAUCGGCAGGCCGAUAGAACCCGGCAAGGUCAGCAUGUAGUUCUAUGGAAGUACCGCCUGUGAUCUCAGCCAUCUCAGCCAUGCUCGCGCCGCCGUCAAUUUCGUUGUUUUGUUCAGUCAUUUCGAACUCGGAUUCAGCCAGCCUGUGAUCUGUGCAAAAUAUCCAUAUAUGGAUCAGUGCCAUGGACUCUUCUCAACCUAUGGACCUCAAAUCUCAUAUACGAACAUAAAAAAAAGCCUCCAAACCUCCAAAGACAGUAGCAAGAUCUUUGUUGAUGUGCUCAGGUAGAAAUUACAGAGGAGCUUAUUUGUUGGAGAUUUGAAGAGUAAAACUUAGCAGCGUGGUACCGCCGAAAGUGGUAAUUGCUAAUCAGGGAUAGAGUGAGCGAAUCAUAGUUUGACCAAGUCUUGAAUGAUGAAUUGAGCCAGAUCAUUGAGGUCUCUUUGUCAAGUUAAAUUUUCAUUCGACUUUUUAUUUGUAAUGCUCAGUUCUUCACUCAAACAUU